rnacentral:rRNA from 1 species
AGUGAACGCUGGCGGUAGGCCUAACACAUGCAAGUCGAACGGCAGCACAGUAAGAGCUUGCUCUUACGGGUGGCGAGUGGCGGACGGGUGAGGAAUACAUCGGAAUCUACUUUUUCGUGGGGGAUAACGUAGGGAAACUUACGCUAAUACCGCAUACGACCUACGGGUGAAAGCAGGGGAUCUUCGGACCUUGCGCGAUUGAAUGAGCCGAUGUCGGAUUAGCUAGUUGGCGGGGUAAAGGCCCACCAAGUCGACGAUCCGUAGCUGGUCUGAGAGGAUGAUCAGCCACACUGGAACUGAGACACGGUCCAGACUCCUACGGGAGGCAGCAGUGGGGAAUAUUGGACAAAGGGCGCAAGCCUGAUCCAGCCAUACCGCGUGGGUGAAGAAGGCCUUCGGGUUGUAAAGCCCUUUUGUUGGGAAAGAAAAGCAGCAGGUUAAUACCCCGCUGUUCUGACGGUACCCAAAGAAUAAGCACCGGCUAACUUCGUG